UUUCCGUAGGUGAACCUGCGGAAGGAUCAUUAUUGGAUUUUGAAACUUCAGGCUGCUGCUGGCUCUUCUCGGAGGGCAUGUGCACGCUUGUUGUCCAUUAUUUCUCCCACUGUGCACAAAUUGUAGACCUUUCAGUAGGCCUAUGUUGUUUUUCACAAUCUCUGAAUGUAAUAGAAUGGUUUUGAAUCUUGGGAAAUACAAUACAACUUUCAGCAACGGAUCUCUUGGCUCUC
rnacentral:misc_RNA from 1 species